rnacentral:rRNA from 1 species
AGAGUUUGAUCCUGGCUCAGGAUGAACGCUGGCGGCAUGCCUAAUACAUGCAAGUCGAACGGACCGAAGGGAAAGCUUGCUUUUCCUGAAGUCAGUGGCGAACGGGUGAGUAACACGUAGGUAACCUGCCCAUGUGCCCGGGACAACGCCUGGAAACGGGUGCUAAAACCGGAUAGGUAGAGAGAUCGCAUGAACUUUCUAUUAAAGGGGCUACGGCCCUGAACAUGGAUGGACCUGCGGUGCAUUAGCUAGUUGGUGAGGUAACGGCCCACCAAGGCGACGAUGCAUAGCCGACCUGAGAGGGCGAACGGCCACAUUGGGACUGAGACACGGCCCAAACUCCUACGGGAGGCAGCAGUAGGGAAUUUUCGUCAAUGGGGGGAACCCUGAACGAGCAAUGCCGCGUGAGUGAAGACGGUCUUCGGAUUGUAAAGCUCUGUUGCGAGAGAAAAACGACACGGAUAGGGAAUGAUCCGUGGGUGAUGGUAUCUCGCCAGAAAGUCACGGCUAACUACGUGCCAGCAGCCGCGGUAAUACGUAGGUGGCGAGCGUUAUCCGGAAUCAUUGGGCGUAAAGAGGGAGCAGGCGGCCGCAAGGGUCUGUGGUGAAAGACCGAAGCUAAACUUCGGUGAGCCAUGGAAACCGGGCGGCUAGAGUGCGGAAGAGGAUCGUGGAAUUCCAUGUGUAGCGGUGAAAUGCGUAGAUAUAUGGAGGAACACCAGUGGCGAAGGCGACGGUCUGGGCCGCAACUGACGCUCAUUCCCGAAAGCGUGGGGAGCAAAUAGGAUUAGAUACCCUAGUAGUCCACGCCGUAAACGAUGGUCACUAAGUGUCGGGGGUCAAACCCCGGUGCUGCAGUCAACGCAGUAAGUGACCCGCCUGAGUAGUACGUUCGCAAGAAUGAAACUCAAAGGAAUUGACGGGGGCCCGCACAAGCGGUGGAGCAUGUGGUUUAAUUCGAAGCAACGCGAAGAACCUUACCAAGUCUUGACAUCCUUCUGACCGGUACUUAACCGUACCUUCUCUUCGGAGCAGGAGUGACAGGUGGUGCAUGGUUGUCGUCAGCUCGUGUCGUGAGAUGUUGGGUUAAGUCC